GACGAACGCUGGCGGCGUGCUUAACACAUGCAAGUCGAACGAAGAGCGAUGGAAGCUUGCUUCUAUCAAUCUUAGUGGCGAACGGGUGAGUAACGCGUAAUCAACCUGCCCUUCAGAGGGGGACAACAGUUGGAAACGACUGCUAAUACCGCAUACGAUCCAAUCUCGGCAUCGGGACUGGAUGAAAGGUGGCCUCUAUUUAUAAGCUAUCACUGAAGGAGGGGAUUGCGUCUGAUUAGCUAGUUGGAGGGGUAACGGCCCACCAAGGCGAUGAUCAGUAGCCCGUCUGAGAGGAUGAACGGCCACAUUGGGACUGGGACCCGGCCCAGGCUCCUACGGGAGGCAGCAGUGGGGAAUCUUCCGCAAUGGACGAAAGUCUGACGGAGCAACGCCGCGUGAGUGAUGACGGCCUUCGGGUUGUAAAGCUCUGUUAAUCGGGACGAAUGGUUCUUGUGCGAAUAGUGCGAGGAUUUGACGGUACCGGAAUAGAAAGCCACGGCUAACUACGUG
rnacentral:rRNA from 1 species